GAUGAACGCUGGCGGCGUGCCUAAUACAUGCCAGUCGAGCGAACAGAUGAGGAGCUUGCUCCUCUGACGUUAGCGGCGGACGGGUGAGUAACACGUGGAUAACCUACCUAUAAGACUGGGAUAACUUCGGGAAACCGGAUCUAAUACCGGAUAAUAUAUUGAACCGCAUGGUUCAAUAGUGAAAGACGGUUUUGCUGUCACUUAUAGAUGGAUCCGCGCCGCAUUAGCUAGUUGGUAAGGUAACGGCUUACCAAGGCAACGAUGCGUAGCCGACCUGAGAGGGUGAUCGGCCACACUGGAACUGAGACACGGUCCAGACUCCUACGGGAGGCAGCAGUAGGGAAUCUUCCGCAAUGGGCGAAAGCUUGACGGAGCAACGCCGCGUGAGUGAUGAAGGUCUUCGGAUCGUAAAACUCUGUUAUUAGGGAAGAACAAAUGUGUAAGUAACUAUGCACGUCUUGACGGUACCUAAUCAGAAAGCCACGGCUAACUACGUG
rnacentral:rRNA from 1 species